UAAGACGUAGGGUGCAAGCGUUGUCCGGAUUUACUGGGCGUAAAGAGCGCGUAGGCGGUCUGUUAAGUGUGAAGUGAAAUCUCCAGGGCUCAACCCGGAAACGGCUUCGCAUACUGGCAGACUGGAGGGAUGCAGAGGUGAGUGGAAUUCCUGGUGUACCGGUGAAAUGGGUAGAUAUCAGGAGGAACACCCGUGGCGAAGGCGGCUCACUGGGCAUCUCCUGACGCUGAGGCGCGAAAGUGUGGGUAGCAAACAGGAUUAGAUACCCUGGUAGUCCACACCCUAAACGAUGGAUACUAGGCGUAAGAGGUAUCGACCCCUCUUGUGCCGCAGCUAACGCACUAAGUAUCCCGCCUGGGGAGUACGGCCGCAAGGUUG
rnacentral:rRNA from 1 species